CCUACGGGUGGCAGCAGUGGGGAAUAUUGCACAAUGGGGGAAACCCUGAUGCAGCGACGCCGCGUGAGCGAUGAAGUAUCUCGGUAUGUAAAGCUCUAUCAGCAGGGAAGAAAAUGACGGUACCUGACUAAGAAGCCCCGGCUCACUACGGGCCAGCAGCCGCGGGAAUACGUAGGGGGCAAGCGUUAUCCGGAUUUACUGGGGGGAAAGGGAGCGUAGGCGGUCCUGCAAGCCAGAUGUGAAAGCCCGGGGCUCAACCCCGGGACUGCAUUUGGAACUGGAAGGCUAGAGUGUCGGAGAGGCAGGCGGAAUUCGUGGUGUAGCGGUGAAAUGCGUAGAUAUUAGGAAGAACACCAGUGGCGAAGGCGGCCUGCUGGACGAUGACUGACGUUGAGGCACGAAAGCGUGGGGAGCAAACAGGAUUAGAUACCCGAGAAGUC
rnacentral:rRNA from 1 species